rnacentral:pre_miRNA from 1 species
CAGAGCUGUGGAGUGUGACAAUGGUGUUUGUGGCCAAACUAUCAAACGCCAUUAUCACACUAAAUAGCUACUG